rnacentral:rRNA from 1 species
CCUACGGGAGGCAGCAGUGAGGAAUAUUGGUCAAUGGCCGGAAGGCUGAACCAGCCAAGUCGCGUGAGGGACGACUGCCCUAUGGGUUGUAAACCUCUUUUAUAAGGGAAGAAUAAAUGCUACGUGUAGCAUGAUGCCUGUACCUUAUGAAUAAGCAUCGGCUAACUCCGUGCCAGCAGCCGCGGUAAUACGGAGGAUGCGAGCGUUAUCCGGAUUUAUUGGGUUUAAAGGGUGCGUAGGCGGAAUGCCAAGUCAGCGGUAAAAUCGCGGGGCUCAACCUCGCUCCGCCGUUGAAACUGGCGUUCUUGAGUGGGCGAGAAGUAUGCGGAAUGCGUGGUGUAGCGGUGAAAUGCAUAGAUAUCACGCAGAACUCCGAUUGCGAAGGCAGCAUACCGGCGCCCAACUGACGCUGAAGCACGAAAGCGUGGGUAUCGAACAGGAUUAGAUACCCCGGUAGUC